AACGACUUCGUUGGUCAUCCGUAAAAAUUGGAACGAUACAGAGAAGAUUAGCAUGGCCCCUGCGCAAGGAUGACACGCAUAAAUCGAGAAGUAUCGCACUUUUUG
rnacentral:snRNA from 1 species